rnacentral:rRNA from 1 species
ACUGGGCCGGAAAUGGAUUAAUACAUGCAAGUCGUGGGGCAGCAUGAAUGUAGCAAUACAUUUGAUGGCAGACCGGCAAACGGGUGCGGAACACGUACACAACCUUCCUAUAAGUGGGGAAUAGCCCAGAGAAAUUUGGAUUAAUACCCCGUAACAUAACGAUGUGGCAUCACAUUGUUAUUAUAGCUUCGGCGCUUAUUGAUGGGUGUGCGGCUGAUUAGAUAGUUGGCGGGGUAACGGCCCACCAAGUCUACGAUCAGUAGCUGAUGUGAGAGCAUGAUCAGCCACACGGGCACUGAGACACGGGCCCGACUCCUACGGGAGGCAGCAGUAAGGAAUAUUGGUCAAUGGACGCAAGUCUGAACCAGCCAUGCCGCGUGAAGGAUUAAGGUCCUCUGGAUUGUAAACUUCUUUUAUCUGGGACGAAAAAAGGCGAUUCUUCGUCACUUGACGGUACCAGAUGAAUAAGCACCGGCUAACUCCGUGCCAGCAGCCGCGGUAAUACGGAGGGUGCAAGCGUUAUCCGGAUUCACUGGGUUUAAAGGGUGCGUAGGCGGGCAGGUAAGUCAGUGGUGAAAUCCUGGAGCUUAACUCCAGAACUGCCAUUGAUACUAUCUGUCUUGAAUAUUGUGGAGGUAAGCGGAAUAUGUCAUGUAGCGGUGAAAUGCUUAGAUAUGACAUAGAACACCUAUUGCGAAGGCAGCUUACUACGCAUAUAUUGGACGCUGAGGCACGAAAGCGUGGGGAUCAAACAGGAUUAGAUACCCUGGUAGUCCACGCCCUAAACGAUGGAUACUCGACAUACGCG